rnacentral:rRNA from 1 species
GUGGCUCAGGACGAACGCUGGCGGCGUGCUUAACACAUGCAAGUCGAACGGUGAAGGGAAGCUUGCUUCCCGGAUCAGUGGCGAACGGGUGAGUAACACGUGGGCAAUCUGCCCCAGACUUUGGGAUAACUACUCGAAAGAGUAGCUAAUACCGAAUAUUCAGCCUUGCAGGCAUCUGCGAGGCUGGAAAGUUUCUCGGUCUGGGAUGAGCCCGCGGCCUAUCAGCUAGUUGGUGAGGUAAUGGCUCACCAAGGCGACGACGGGUAGCCGGCCUGAGAGGGCGACCGGCCACACUGGGACUGAGACACGGCCCAGACUCCUACGGGAGGCAGCAGUGGGGAAUAUUGCGCAAUGGGCGAAGGCCUGACGCAGCAACGCCGCGUGCGGGAUGAAGGCCUUCGGGUUGUAAACCGCUUUCAGCAGGGAAGAAGCGAAAGUGACGGUACCUGCAGAAGAAGCACCGGCUAACUACGUG